rnacentral:lncRNA from 1 species
CAGUGGCCUGCCUUCACUCUCUAGUGGUGGUCCUAGUUGUGUGCAGCUGUGGCUCUUUUUGAUCUCUGGGAUGUGACCUGACUCAGAACCAUGGUCUGACAGGAAGGAAGACGUUGGUGCUUCUGGGCCAAAUGAAAUGGAUCUCCCCUUUCUUGUGUCUCAAGGACAGAAGAGACUUCAGGUUUCCCCUGGAGAUGUGUAUGACAGCCAGUUGCAGCAGGCCCAGGCCCUGUCUGUCCUCCAUGAGAUGCUGCAGCAGAUCUUCAGCCUCUUCCACACAGAGCGCUCCUCUGCUGCCUGGAACACGACCCUCCUGGACCAACUCCACACUGGACUUCAUCAGCAGCUGGAACACCUGGAGACCUGCUUGGUGCGGGCAGUGGGAGAGGGAGAAUCUGCUGGGUGAUUGGGAGCUCUACACUGGCCUUGAGAAGGUACUUCCAGAGAAUCUGUCUCUACCUGAAAGAGAAGAAACAGUGACUGUGCCUGGGAAGUUGUCAGAGUGGAAAUCAUGAGAUCCUUCUCUAUAUCAACAAACUCACAGGAAAGAUUGAGAAGUAAGAAUGGAGACAUGGAGUCA